UAUCACAGACAAAUUAUCAAAAGGCAUUCUUCAGAAAAGAAAAGAGCUUCAGAGCUCGUGACCUAACGAACCCCACAGCCUAGUAACACUAUCAAUGCUCACCGAGAACGUUGUGCCUCCUCUUACAAUUUCUGUUGCUGCGUUUCUUAUCGACAUCCGAAGAAGGGAAGCAGUCCAGCUCCAUUUCCCUAUAUUGGCAAGAAAACCAAAGUUGCAGUAUGAUCAAGCUUCGGUCAAGGGACAAUUGUGUAAACAUCUUUAAGUGAUACAUGAUUUUGAUAACUAUCGAAUCGAAAGAAAUGAGAGAAACUUUUCCUAA